GCUAUUUAAGUCUAAACAUGCUGAUCUUGUUCUUUCAUGUACUCAUAUGAUUUAUUCUUGGCAGAGUUUCCCUCAUUCAGUUUUCAACGGUACUGUGGAACAGAGAAGGACAAAAUGACAGAAGAGAAGAACAUCUUCAGCAGUAAACACAGCUUUGGCAAGUACCUUCAGGUAAGAAAAUUUCUCAUGUGAUACGAGAGCAUAAACAACGAAAUUUGCAGACACGCGAUUGGGAUUUAAAUGGCAGCAGGAGCAGGUAAAUCACGUGCCCGAGGCGUUAGCAGAACGCAAAAUUGCAUGGUAGGGAACUUGAGAAUAGUAGGUGAAGGAAAAUGACCUAAUUAAAGCCUCUGCUGGUACAAGUAGUUGAAUCGCAUGACCAGGUAUUCAAAGGAAGCAAAAAUCCCUCUAUAUCUCGGGACAAACAUGUGAAGAAAAUGACAAGACAUCCGUGACAGGGCACGACAAAGUGUUAGUGUCUUCUGAAUCACAUGAUCUUUUCGGUGGAAAACUGGUAGAUUGAAGGAAAAAGGGCGACCAGAUAUGUGCAAUCACUUCUUAUUUGUGGACCUGGGUAAGCAUUACCGGAAGAAUUUGUGGCAGGACACUAUGAAUCACAUGACGGAAAUGUUUGAAGUGGUAGGGUUCAUGAACUCGCACGAUCUGCAGGAAAGCACUGACAAUAAACCCUAAAACGGGGGCUAGGUCCAAAAACGGCAGCGGUUUUCUUCCAUCAAAAUGUUGCAGGGAAUUUGGAGAGUGGAAGAGAAAUUAGGAACAUCUUAUGCAGGGGCCUGUACCAGCAUAACGCCUAGCAGAGAGCAGCUUUUCUGAACAAGUGCAGAGUUCCAAUGGCACAGAGGAAUGUUAUAGAACUGGAAUCCGCAAAUUUUGGGCGAUUUAAUUCUAAUUUGAGGUAAAGAUUGCGAUUGAAGAAUUUUUAUUCAAAUUGUACAUUCAUUUACUGAUCCACUUCAAUUCUCUGUUGAAAUAUGUGGAUUCAUUAGUUUGCAGGGACAAAGAUGGCCAUGGUUUGACCCCCGGGAAUAUUUUUUUCAUUUCUCCUUCCAUCUUUUCGCACUGUGAAUUAAAUAUAUAUUCAUAUUAGCAUGCAUUGCCAAACAGAAAAGGGGCGGCUCAGCUGGGUUCGGUUUUUUUAUAUUCACAGUCAAUUGAUUUGUUUUGGCAUGA